UACGUAGGGGGCAAGCGUUGUCCGGAAUCACUGGGCGUAAAGGGUGCGUAGGCGGUUCUGCAAGUCUGGGGUGAAAGGCCAGGGCUCAACCUUGGGAAUGCCUUGGAAACUGUAGGACUUGAGUACUGGAGAGGCAAGGGGAAUUCCACGUGUAGCGGUGAAAUGCGUAGAGAUGUGGAGGAAUACCAGUGGCGAAGGCGCCUUGCUGGACAGUGACUGACGCUGAGGCACGAAAGCGUGGGGAGCAAACAGG
rnacentral:rRNA from 1 species